AGUGUGUGUGUGCGAUGCGCAAAUUAUACGCCGCUAUAUCGUAUCCCGUGAUCACUCUUUAGGCAAUGUCCAUAUCCCUCUUGGCACUUUGACAUCGUCAGCGCCGUGAUUAAAAUGCACGCCGAUAGAUCGUGAGUCGGCGAUCUCUGGUCGCUAUCUCCUUGUUACAUUGUUUCAUAAUUGUUGUUACCUAAUGAUAAUCCCACAAUACUUUGCGACCUUUAAUAGCUUCGCUGGUGUUAUGUCAAUUUUAUUUUGGUAACUGUACGAUCUGUGUAUACUGCAUUUUAAUACUGCCAAUUAAAUACAAUUUUUCAACAGAAA